GCGCGAAACCUUCACAAUGCACGAAAGUGUGAUGAGGGUACUCCGAGUGCGCAUACAUUGUAUGUGCUUUUCUGCAGCGUAAAUAGUUGCAGGAAUAAGGGCUGGGCAAGACCGGUGCCAGCCGCCGCGGUAACACCGGCAGCCCUAGUGGUGGUCGCUUUUAUUGGGCCUAAAGCGUCCGUAGCCGGAUAGGCAAGUCUUUGGGUAAAUCCUACGUCUUAAGCGUGGGAAUUCUAAAGAUACUACCUGUCUUGAGGCCGGGAGAGGCUAGAGGUACUCCUGGGGUAGGGGUAAAAUCCUAUAAUCCUGGGGGGACCACAGAUGGCGAAGGCAUCUAGCUGGAACGGGCCUGACGGUGAGGGACGAAACCCAGGGGAGCGAGCCGGAUUAGAUACCCGGGUAGUCCUGGGCGUAAAUGAUGUGGGCUUGGUGUGAGCGCAUCGACGAGGUGCGUUUGUGCCGUAGGGAAGCCGUUAAGCCCACCGCCUGGGGAGUACGGUCGCAAGGCUGAAACU
rnacentral:rRNA from 1 species